rnacentral:lncRNA from 1 species
AACCGUGCGUUGAAUCUGCUUGAGGAUGACUUAGAGCUGCUCGUACUACGCGCAAAUGCCAACACGAAUGGCUUGCGAGUGUUCGAACCUGUACCGACAAACAAGGAGAAGGUAGGUUGUGCUACUCCAUCGGAAGAAACAUUAUAGCGAAAGCUCUCCGAUAAAAGGGACUACUAAGAGUGAUAAGCAACGAGGAAAUAGAAAUC